rnacentral:rRNA from 1 species
GACGAACGCUGGCGGCGUGCUUAACACAUGCAAGUCGAACGGAAAGGCCCUGCUUUUGUGGGGUGCUCGAGUGGCGAACGGGUGAGGAACACGUGAGUAACCUGCCCUUGACUUUGGGAUAACUUCAGGAAACUGGGGCUAAUACCGGAUAGGAUCUCCUGCUGCAUGGUGGGGGUUGGAAAGUUUCGGCGGUUGGGGAUGGACUGGCGGCUUAUGAGCUUGUUGGUGGGGUAGUGGCUUACCAAGGCUGUGACGGGUAGCCGGCCUGAGAGGGUGACCGGCCACAAUGGGACUGAGAGACGGCGCAGUCGCCUACGGGAGGCAGCAGUCGGGAGUAUUGCACAAUGAGCGCACGCGUGAUGCGGCAGCGCUGCGUGCGGAAUGACGGCCUUCGGGUUGUGAACCGCUUUCGCCUGUGACGAAGCGUGAGUGACGGUACUGGAUAAAGAAGCACCGGCUAACUACGUG